AUGAAGCGUUCUGUCAUGGUUAGGCCGAAGGCCAUGCUUAGCGCAGUUCUUGCUGAAGCUGGUUUUCCUGAGGUGAAAUACAAGACCUACACAACCUAUCGUGGCAGUGUGGUGGCUGCUGCUUACUUCUGGCCAUCAGUCACAUUCGUCUGCAGCGGCAGAACAUAUAUGAGGAUUAAUGGCGACCCAGCUGUGGAUGCCGGCGAGGCCAUGCAAAUGCUGCUACUCGGUGCUUGGAGCAUCUUCAAGCCACUAUGGAUGUUGAGUUCGAUUGCCCUCAGAUGCAGAAGAUUAAGACCGAGAUAA
rnacentral:rRNA from 1 species